CUGUAUGACAGUCAUAAAAGUCAAUAUUUAUAACAAGAAACAAAAUUUAAAAAAAUCAGUGACUGUUGAUAACCACCCACUGUACCCUACUGGAAAGUGCAAGUGUAGGCCCCUUGAAGUCACGUACUUACUGUCAGAGCGUCAACAACUCCUCCCCCUCCCCAUUCUCCCUGUGGUAGCCCCCACCCACAUCCAACUUCCAAUUUCCACCUGAUCACGCUCCAUCACUUUUGUGCCACACCCCUAACACCGGAUCUGUUGCCCCAAUUCCACUCACCUGAAUGCUUCAAUUACCCCACAUCCUUCACAAUAUCCGGAAGCUGAUCGCUUCCUUGAUUCUCCUACAAGACUGUUAGUAGGAUCCUGCCUUUGGUUCCUGUUCAAACUCACCUAACAACCUUCGUGGCCACACUCCCUACCAACCAGCCUUCUUCCAAUCUAGCAAACUGACUUUUGUGACUCCUGACCCAAAUCCCUGCUAACCUUUGGGUCCACCUAGUUAAAUAAUCUCUCCCGGCUGUCCCCUCCACUGACCUCCCUGACCCAGGUCCUACCCCUCCUGUUGCCCUGAACAGCCCAUGACCUCCCUGGCCAGAAACCCUCCACCGACUUCAAUACCCUAAUCCCUACCAACCUCCCUGGCCCAAAGUCUCCACAGACCAAUCUUUUUGAAAUUCACCAACUUGAAAUAUUAAGUCAUGUUUCCCUCUACCCAAUGCCCUGGCCCAGCUGCACUAUUCCCUAGCCCAACCCAUCUAUCUGUAUGGCUGGCCCAAGUCCUCUAACAAUCUCCCUGGCCUAGGCCCUACCAUCUUGCCAGUAUGAACCUCCUCCUAAUCCUGGCCUGAUGACCUCCCUUCCAAUCACCAACCCAGCCCCUGACCCUUCCUCACUGCAAUACCCUAACCCAGAAAGACUAACACAAUUUUCUUGCUUGCAUCAUAAUGGCAAAGCAUGCAAAUGAAGAGCUAAAAUCCAGUCAGAGCACAAAAAACUCUGGGUCUUGUUGCUGAAUUUUUCUGUGACAAACUUUUAAUAGGAAGAAAAGACUGGAAGUGAAAGUCGAAAGCUAAUGAGCAAAAUAUUAAAUAAGAAUAGUUAGACACAAGAAGUCAAGAUAGCAUAAAUUAAAUGGUCUGAAUGCAGUAAACUAAUCAAGAACUUUGAGCAAGAUGAAGCAGGAAUGAAAGGAUAUACUGAGACACAAGAGAUUCUGCAGAUGCUGGAACCUGGAGGAACACACACAAAAUCAUGGAACUCAGCAGGUCAGGCAGCAUCUAUGGAGAGAAACAUUUCGGCUCGAGACCUUUCGUUCGGACUGGAAAGGAAGAGGGCAGAAGCCAGAAUAAGAAGGUCAGGGGGAUACGGAUUAACAGAGCUCCUCCCGGUGUGGAACAUGUGGGACUGCAGGGUUAUCAAAGUGUAACAUUUGAAGAAAAACGGAGCCCGCGUGUGCUCGGAAUCUAUCGAUCUUCUCAGCUGACAAUUGAGCCAAGUAGCACAUCAUUUGUCUACAACUGCACAGAAGUGGAAAGAUGUGAACAUCAACACUACGAAAUUAAAAUCUCUGCAAAGGUCGAAGGAUGAAAAAAAUCGAAAGCGCUAGAAGUAUUCACCAAGGUCUCAGAGAACACUGAACUUUUACUUUGAUGCAUUUCCUUGAUAAUCCACUUUACAGCGCCAGCGACCCGGGUUCCAUUCCGGCCACUGUCUGUAAGGAGUUUGUACAUUCUCCCUGUGUCUACGUGGGUUUCCUCCGGGUGCUCCAGUUUCCUCCUGCUUUCUAAAGACGUACGGGUUAGGAAGUUGUGGGCAUGCUAUGUUGGCGCCAGAAACGUGGCGACACUUGCGGUCUACCCCCAGAACAUUCUCCGCAAAAGAUGCAUUUCACUGUGUGUUUCGAUGUACGUGUGACCAAUACAGAUAUCACUCUCUCUCUCUCUCUCUCUCUCUCUCUCCAAAUCAUAUACUUCCUCUCACCAGUGAAACAAUGAGCAAAAACAUAGAUAACACAGUUUAUACAAGCUGUCUUUAUCAAACUAUUGUGAGUAGCCAACUUCGGUUAUUUCUUUAUCCAGACAUAAUAACACAAGAGAAACAGUCAAGGGACCAAAAUAUCAAAUGCAGAUGGAUCUAUCAAACUAGUUAAAUAGAUUUUAACGGUUCAUUUUGUUGCAAUGGGCUGGCUUAUCAUAACUUGCAUAAAAAUUACAACACAGAAACAGAUCAUUCAACUUAGCAGGUACAAGAGUAAGCUCUUAUUAUUACCACCUUAGUAACAGAGGCAGUUUUUUUCUCUCCUUUCAUUUGCUCACCAAACCUUCUCUGUCAGAAUUGCUGUUGCACAAAUUCACUCCAAAUUGUCUAAGCAGCCAAUGUGCUUAUGUCUGAAUGCUUAAGAACCUGUAGGUUAUUUCAUCAUAACUCCCUUAAGCUGGUCUGACCCUAUCCUUUAAUCAUCAUUUAGGCACAUCAUCAAUAAUUGCUCAAUAGCAGUAAUAUACUUGUAAUAAGAUUAGGUAAUAUUUUAUUCCCUUUAGAUGAAGGCAUUAUGCCCACUGACAGUAAAUGUCGUGCCACUCCAGAGUACAUGUUAAAUUUUAGAGGUCAAAAACACCUCCAUGUUAGUGGCAACACUAUCUGCUGUUGCCACUAAUGGUAUGUUCCAACUAUGGAUUUAACUUCUGCAGAUCCACUGUCAACUGCCAAAAUGUGCUGAAUUUUAGCCAGCAGUUCUAGAGAGAACCACUGGCCAAUUGUAGUGCAGGAACAAGCUGAGCUUUGCACACUGUAGCACAGAGGUCAGCAACCAACUGGAGGUCAGAUGCCAAAGUACAAUUGAAGAGGUAAGUGCAGGGAAGUAGCUUGUUUUUAACAAUUUUAACAUUUCUAAUUAAUUUCCAGCAUUAAAUAGUGUUUAAGCAAGUCAGUUUUUUAAAAAUCAUUUAAUUAUUUCAAUCCAUUUGAAUAGUUUUUAAACAUCUCUGAUUAAAAACACAAAAAAACGUUCAAGGGGCUUUGACAGUAGAGAGCUUUCAAAUGGCCACCAGGACAGUCUGGUGGCAACACCUUAAGAUCUGCUGCCAAGAUCCAGUCGUCACUCAUGCCUCCCCUUGCCCCCCAAUAAAUUUCAUUUAAGCUUCAACAGCCAGGACAAGAGGACAAUUCAACCUGCAAAGCCACAGGAAGUACAGCCACAAGGGAAGGGAGAAUUUGGAUAAGCUCAACACAGACCACUUAGUAAGGGCUGUCUCAAACCAAAAUGGUUAGACCUAACAUGAUGGCAGGGCCUUGCAUGAUGUAAUGCUAUCAGAUGGACAGUCACACUGCAGUAUUUGUGACUUGAAUGUUACUAUCUCUGAAACAUUUAAAAACUAUUGAAAAUCAAUUAAACAAUUAUAAGAACAAAAUUAUCCAUUUUAAACAAUUUAAAUGAUCUUAAUUUUUUGCAAUGUUAAAUGUUUAUAUCAAACAUAAUUAAUUGAAAACAUACAUUACCGUAUAUUUGGCUUUAUAUUACUUUAUAACGUACAGUUGUUGCUUUCCCCACAUCAGUGGAUAGAUUGCCCAGCAUAAGUGCUCAAGAAGUUUAUCUAGAUCAUCCUCUGCCCUCGGCUCUACGUAGAGUCAACUUCAGAAAUGAAGCAGAGCGACUGCUAGAGCAGAUCAGCCAUCAACUUGGCAUUUGAGAUGCAAACUUUCUGACACCUAUGGUGGGUGGGUGUUGUGGUGCAGAACAAAUGCCAACAGUUCUGUAGGAGAAUGCCAGCAUUCUUCACAAGUCCGGUCUAUAAAUUUACUGCCAUAACCACUACCUUACUGGCACAUGGCAGAAAUAGUUUUGGUUUACUGGACUGGAUUUUGCUUGCAAAACAUUGGCAUUUCUCUGAGUAAACAUCUGCAGCUUUGGGAUUUACAUGUGAACACAGAAGCCUCAAAGUUGUGAUCUGUUAUGUAGUUUUGCUGAUUGCAUGCUGGUAUUUUACUCCUCAUGGGAUCCAGCAGGGAAGCAGCAAUCCCAAAUUUUAUUGUCGGGACCAAGGUAGGGACAGUUUCCCCAUUCAUUUCAGAAGAAUGCUGCAAGGGAGUUUAGUUUUUUUUUAUUAAUUUGUUCAGUUUUUAAUGCCUUGAAAUGGGUAGUCAUAGUUUUUGAAUGACAUAGGCUUGCCCCACCCCCUUCACCUUCCUAUUGUGUGAUGGCAUAUGGCAAUUUAUGGCACAGAAAGAUAGCCUGUGGCAACUGUGUCCAGGCUGGCCAAAAUAAAGUACCAUUUAACUUAAUCCCAAUUCCAGUUCUCUGUCCAUUACCUUGUUAAAACUGUUGGCUCAGUUAAUAGUGUCAAUAGCCUAACUGCUCCUGGAAAAUAUGGCAGUGCCAAUACACAAAAAUGACUCUUAGAUUUAAAUAAUGCAGCUGGUCUCAUGAACUUUCACUCUAUGUCUCCAUGCUGUGGUACAAAGAUUACUGCACCCUUCAACAUGAUGUAUAAAAGUUUGGGAUUGGGCUCAGAUAUUUGUUUUAGAUUGUACUUUUACACUCAAUUUUUCCAAAGCCCAAAGAGAAGUAAAACUUGUACCUCUAGAUUUGUUGGUUUAAUAAAUCCAUUGACUGAUGGCUAUAUUUUUCAGCUUUAUCUGUAUAUUUCUCAAUUGGACUUGUGCAAUGUAAAAUUUCACAUCUGGUGUAAUGUGGGGUGAUAUUCAUCUCACCCUAUGGAACUUUGCCAUGCACA